rnacentral:tRNA from 1 species
AUUAAAGUGGCAGAAAAGAAAAUGCCAGGAAUUUAAGCUUCCUAUAUGAUAUUAUUCCUUUAAUA